CUUCACGGUGGCCAACGGCGUGGCCACGGGCAACGACCUCGUGGCCGUGGUUCCGCCGCAUCGCGUGGAGG
rnacentral:tRNA from 1 species